rnacentral:rRNA from 1 species
AGGCGCGCAUCCAGAACGGACCUGACGGUGAGGAACGAAACCCUGGGGAGCAAACGGGAUUAGAUACCCCGGUAGUCCAGGGCGUAAACGAUGUCCGUUUGGUGUUGCAUGCUCUACGUGGGCGUGCAGUGCCGUAGCGUAGGUGUUAAACGGACCGCCUGGGGAGUACGGUCGCAAGACUGAAACUUAAAGGANUNGACGGGGGAGCACCACAAGGGGUGGAGCCUGCGGUUCAAUUGGAUUCAACGCCGGAAAUCUUACCGGGAUCGACAGCAGAAUGAUGGUCAGUCCGAAGGGCUUACCUAACGCGCUGAGAGGCGGUGCAUGGCCGCCGUCAGCUAGUGCCGUGAGGUGUCCUGUUAAGUCAGGUAACUAGCGAGACCCGCGUCUCUUGUUGCUAUCCUGUUCUCCGGAACAGGAGCACACUGGAGAGACCGCUGGUGAUAAAUCAGAGGAAGGUGCGGGCAACGGUAGGUCAGUAUGCCCCGAAUUUCCCGGGCUACACGCGUGCUACAAUGCGUCGGACAGAGGGUUGCCACGCCGUAAGGCGGAGCCAAUCCCUAAACCCACGCCCAGUUCAGAUUGAGGGCUGUAACUCGCCCUCAUGAAGCCGGAAUCCCCAGUAAUCGCGUAUCAUUAUUGCGCGGUGAAAACGUCCCUGCUCC